GACGAACGCUGGCGGCGUGCUUAACACAUGCAAGUCGAACGGGGUUAAGGAGCUUGCUUCUUAACUUAGUGGCGAACGGGUGAGUAACGCGUGAGGAACCUGCCUUUCAGAGAGGGACAACAGUUGGAAACGACUGCUAAUACCGCAUGAUUGGGAUACCAAAGAUUUAUUGAACAGAGAUGGGCUCGCGUCCGAUUAGAUAGUUGGUGAGGUAACGGCUCACCAAGUCGACGAUCGGUAGCCGGACUGAGAGGUCGAACGGCCACAUUGGAACUGAGAAACGGUCCAGACUCCUACGGGAGGCAGCAGUGGGGAAUAUUGGGCAAUGGGCGAAAGCCUGACCCAGCGACGCCGCGUGAGGGAAGAAGGUCUUCGGAUUGUAAACCUUAGUCAACAGGGAAGAAGCAAGUGACGGUACCUGUGGAGGAAGCCACGGCUAACUACGUG
rnacentral:rRNA from 1 species